rnacentral:rRNA from 1 species
GAUGAACGCUGGCGGCGUGCUUAACACAUGCAAGUCGAACGAUGAAGCCCAGCUUGCUGGGUGGAUUAGUGGCGAACGGGUGAGUAACACGUGAGUAACCUGCCCUUGACUCUGGGAUAAGCCUGGGAAACUGGGUCUAAUACUGGAUAUGACUUCUCAUCGCAUGGUGGGGGGUGGAAAGAUUUAUUGGUCUUGGAUGGACUCGCGGCCUAUCAGCUUGUUGGUGAGGUAAUGGCUCACCAAGGCGACGACGGGUAGCGGGCCUGAGAGGGUGACCGGCCACACUGGGACUGAGACACGGCCCAGACUCCUACGGGAGGCAGCAGUGGGGAAUAUUGCACAAUGGGCGCAAGCCUGAUGCAGCGACGCCGCGUGAGGGAUGACGGCCUUCGGGUUGUAAACCUCUUUCAGUAGGGAAGAAGCGAGAGUGACGGUACCUGCAGAAGAAGCGCCGGCUAACUACGUG